rnacentral:rRNA from 1 species
GAUGAACGCUGGCGGCGUGCCUAAUACAUGCGAGUCGAGCGAACGGACGAGAAGCUUGCUUCUCUGAUGUUAGCGGCGGACGGGUGAGUAACACGUGGAUAACCUACCUAUAAGACUGGGAUAACUUCGGGAAACCGGAGCUAAUACCGGAUAAUAUUUUGAACCGCAUGGUUCAAAAGUGAAAGACGGUCUUGCUGUCACUUAUAGAUGGAUCCGCGCUGCAUUAGCUAGUUGGUAAGGUAACGGCUUACCAAGGGAACGAUGCAUAGCCGACCGGAAAGGGUGAUCGGCCACACUGGAACUGAGACACGGUCCAGACUCCUACGGGAGGCAGCAGUAGGGAAUCUUCCGCAAUGGGCGAAAGCCUGACGGAGCAACGCCGCGUGAGUGAUGAAGGUCUUCGGAUCGUAAAACUCUGUUAUUAGGGAAGAACAUAUGUGUAAGUAACUGUGCACAUCGUGACGGUACCUAAUCAGAAAGCCACGGCUAACUACGUG